AGUGAACGCUGGCGGUAGGCCUAACACAUGCAAGUCGAACGGCAGCACAGUAAGAGCUUGCUCUUACGGGUGGCGAGUGGCGGACGGGUGAGGAAUACAUCGGAAUCUACUUUUUCGUGGGGGAUAACGUAGGGAAACUUACGCUAAUACCGCAUACGACCUACGGGUGAAAGCAGGGGAUCUUCGGACCUUGCGCGAUUGAAUGAGCCGAUGUCGGAUUAGCUAGUUGGCGGGGUAAAGGCCCACCAAGGCGACGAUCCGUAGCUGGUCCGAGAGGAUGAUCAGCCACACUGGAACUGAGACACGGUCCAGACUCCUACGGGAGGCAGCAGUGGGGAAUAUUGGACAAUGGGCGCAAGCCUGAUCCAGCCAUACCGCGUGGGUGAAGAAGGCCUUCGGGUUAUAAAGCCCUUUUGUUGGGAAAGAAAAGCAGCAGGUUAAUACCCCGCUGUUCUGACGGUACCCAAAGAAUAAGCACCGGCUAACUUCGUG
rnacentral:rRNA from 1 species